GUGCCAGCAGCCGCGGUAAUACGUAGGCAGCAAGCGUUGUUCGGAGUUACUGGGCGUAAAGAGUGUGUAGGCGGUCCUCUAAGUUCGGUGUGAAAUCUCCCGGCUCAACUGGGAGGGUGCGCCGGAAACUGGAGGGCUCGAGUAUGGGAGAGGGAAGCGGAAUUCCUGGUGUAGCGGUGAAAUGCGUAGAUAUCAGGAGGAACACCUGCGGUGUAGACGGCUUCCUGGACCAUGACUGACGCUGAGACACGAAAGCGUGGGGAGCAAACAGGAUUAGAAACCCCUGUAGUCC
rnacentral:rRNA from 1 species